rnacentral:lncRNA from 1 species
GUCUUUCUAACGUUCCCCCGUGCGACACCAAAUCUGACCGUCCAUUCAUAGAUGCCGGAACUACAUCCUGCAGGUCCGACAUCGAUUGCAGUGAUGGAACUGCGAUUGCAGUUCCGGCAACCAGCGUGAUGGAACCGCGAUGGGUUCCGCGGUCAAGUUCCAGAUUGCAGUUCCGCGGUCAAGUUCCAGAUUGCAGUUCGCGAUGGGUGCCGGAACUGUUCGGUGACAGAACUGUUCCACCAUCGCGGAGAUUGCAGUUCGCGAUGGGUUCCGCGGAGUUGCGUCAGCUCCAGAGGUUCCGCUCGACGUUCCCGAAACUGCAAUCGUACUCUCUAGACCUAAGCGGUUCAAUCUGACCACCAUGGGGAAACGCCCUUUCCAGCGUCAUCAUCUUCGCCGGAAAGGUAAAACCUCCAACAACAGCUCCCUCGAUCGCCAGUAGGAUCACAACGAACGCCGCGGCAGCCAUCGGCGCACAAUUAAUCAGUAUUCGGAGAGGUUACUUAAGGAGACUAAAGAGUUGGGUUUAUUUUUACAGAUACUUCCCCUCGGACUCUCGGCGGAGGUAGAGUGCGUCGGAGUUGAUUUCUUGCUUUGAAGAAGGAAGUUGAGGCGAGGAAGAAAGAAAACAGAGAGGGAAGAAAGCGUUUGGUAGAGAGAUAUAGACGUUUGAUUUUUUUCCCGCAUCCGAAUUUCUGGUACCAAAUAUUAAACACACAUAUAUAUAUACAGCAAAUAGACAGGCACGGUAC